AGAAUCAACGCUGGCGGCGUGCCUAACACAUGCAAGUCGAACGAGAAAAUGGUAGCAAUACCAUGAGUAAAGUGGCGCACGGGUGAGUAACACGUGACUAACCUACCCUUGAGUGGGGGAUAACUGAGGGAAACCUUAGCUAAUACCGCAUAAUACCCACGGGUCAAAGGAGCAAUUCGCUCGAGGAGGGGGUCGCGGCCGAUUAGUUAGUUGGCGGGGUAAUGGCCCACCAAGACGAUGAUCGGUAUCCGGCCUGAGAGGGCGCGACGGAACGACGACUGGAACGUGAAACACGGUCCAGACUCCUACGGGAGGCAGCAGUGGGGAAUUUUGCGCAAUGGGGGAAACCCUGACGCAGCAACGCCGCGUGGAGGAUGAAGUCCUUCGGGACGUAAACUCCUUUCGAUCGGGACGAUUAUGACGGUACCGGAAGAAGAAGCCCCGGCUAACUACGUGCCAGCAGCCGC
rnacentral:rRNA from 1 species